AACGAACGCUGGCGGCAGGCCUAACACAUGCAUGUCGAGCGCCCGCAAGGGAGCGGCGGACGGGUGAGUAACGCGUGGGAACGUGCCCUUUGCUACGGAAUAGCCUCGGGAAACUGAGAGUAAUACCGUAUGUGCCCUUCGGGGGAAAGAUUUAUCGGCAAAGGAUCGGCCCGCGUUGGAUUAGGUAGUUGGUGGGGUAAUGGCCUACCAAGCCGACGAUCCAUAGCUGGAUUGAGAGGAUGAUCAGCCACACUGGGACUGAGACACGGCCCAGACUCCUCCGGGAGGCAGCAGUGGGGAAUCUUAGACAAUGGGCGCAAGCCUGAUCUAGCCAUGCCGCGUGAGCGAUGAAGGCCUUAGGGUUGUAAAGCUCUUUCGUGGGGGAAGAUAAUGACGGUACCCCAAGAAGAAGCCCCGGCUAACUCCGUGCCAGCCGCCGCGGUAAUAC
rnacentral:rRNA from 1 species